UACGUAGGCAGCGAGCGUUGUUCGGAAUUACUGGGCGUAAAGAGUGUGUAGGCGGUGAUCUAAGUUCGGUGUGAAAUCUCCUGGCUUAACUGGGAGGGUGCGCCGGAAACUGGAUUGCUGGAGCGUGGGAGAGGAAAGCGGAAUUCCUGGUGUAGCGGUGAAAUGCGUAGAUAUCAGGAGGAACACCCGUGGUGUAGACGGCUUUCUGGACCAUAGCUGACGCUGAGACACGAAAGCGUGGGUAGCAAACAGG
rnacentral:rRNA from 1 species